rnacentral:tRNA from 1 species
ACAACAGUAGCUCAGUUGGCAGAGCAUACGUAGAUAAUUGGUGUAACUACAGUAGAAGUUUCACUAAGUAUGAGGAACUGAUUAUUGCGUAAGGCCGCGGGUUCGAGUCCCGCCUGUUGUC